GCAAUACCCAGCGGCAGACGGGUGAGUAACACGUAGUCAACCUUCCCGAUAGUGGGGGAUAACUAGCCGAAAGGUUAGCUAAUACCGCAUACGAUCUUCUCGCGGCAUCGCUUGAAGAUGAAAGGAGCAAUCCGCUUUCGGACGGGACUGCGUCCCAUUAGCUAGAUGGUGGGGUAAUGGCCUACCAUGGCAACGAUGGGUAGCUGGUUUGAGAGAGCGACCAGCCACACUGGGACUGAGAAACGGCCCAGACUCCUACGGGAGGCAGCAGUGAGGAAUUUUCCGCAAUGGGCGAAAGCCUGACGGAGCGACGCCGCGUGUGGGAAGAAGGCCUUCGGGUCGUAAACCACUGUCGAAGGGGAAAAUAAUGAUGGUACCCUUGGAGGAAGC
rnacentral:rRNA from 1 species